rnacentral:rRNA from 1 species
UUCGCCCUUAGAGUUUGCUUCUGGCUCAGGACGAACGCUGGCGGCGUGCCUAACACAUGCAAGUCGAGCGAUGAAAGAGAAAUGGAAUUCUUCGGGAUGAAAUUUUUCUGGAUUAGCGGCGAACGGGUGAGUAACACGUGAGCAACCUGCCUUUCACAAAGGGAUAGCCUCGGGAAACUGGGACUAAUACCAUAUGAGACUACAUUACCCCAUGGUAAAGUAGUUAAAGCGAAUAAGCGGUGAAAGAUGAGCUCGCGUCCCAUUAGCUAGUUGGUGAGAUAAAAGCCCACCAAGGCAACGAUGGGUAGCCGGCCUGAGAGGGUGAACGGCCACAUUGGAACUGAGACACGGUCCAAACUCCUACGGGAGGCAGCAGUGGGGAAUAUUGCACAAUGGAGGGAACUCUGAUGCAGCGACGCCGCGUGAACGAUGAAGGCUUUCGAGUCGUAAAGUUCUGUCCUAUGGGAAGAUAAUGACGGUACCAUAGGAGGAAGCCCCGGCUAACUACGUGCCAGCAGCCGCGGUAAUACGUAGGGGGCGAGCGUUGUCCGGAAUUAUUGGGCGUAAAGGGUUCGCAGGCGGUAAUGUAAGUCUGAUGUGAAAUCCUGUGGCUAAACCACAGUAAGCAUUAGAAACUGCAUAACUUGAGUCAAGGAGAGGUAAGUGGAAUUCCUAGUGUAGCGGUGAAAUGCGUAGAUAUUAGGAGGAAUACCAGUGGCGAAGGCGACUUACUGGACUUGAACUGACGCUGAGGAACGAAAGCGUGGGUAGCAAACAGGAUUAGAUACCCUGGUAGUCCACGCCGUAAACGAUGAUUACUAGGUGUCGGGGGCUUAUAAGCCUUCGGUGCCGCAGCAAACGCAAUAAGUAAUCCACCUGGGGAGUACGUUCGCAAGAAUGAAACUCAAAGGAAUUGACGGGGACCCGCACAAGCGGUGGAGCAUGUGGUUUAAUUCGAAGCAACGCGAAGAACCUUACCAAGUCUUGACAUCCCAAUGACAGCAUAUGUAAUGUAUGUUCCCUUCGGGGCAUUGGAGACAGGUGGUGCAUGGUUGUCGUCAGCUCGUGUCGUGAGAUGUUGGGUUAAGUCCCGCAACGAGCGCAACCCUUAUCUUUAGUAGCCAGCAGUAAGAUGGGAACUCUAGAGAGACUGCCGGGGAUAACCCGGAGGAAGGUGGGGAUGACGUCAAAUCAUCAUGCCCCUUAUGAUUUGGGCUACACACGUGCUACAAUGGCGUGAACAGAGGGAAGCGAAGGGGUGACCUGGAGCAAAUCCCAAAAAACACGUCUCAGUUCGGAUUGUAGUCUGCAACUCGACUACAUGAAGCUGGAAUCGCUAGUAAUCGCGAAUCAGAAUGUCGCGGUGAAUACGUUCCCGGGUCUUGCACUCACCGCCCGUCA